rnacentral:rRNA from 1 species
AGAGUUUGAUCCUGGCUCAGAACGAACGCUGGCGGCAGGCCUAACACAUGCAAGUCGAACGCCCCGCAAGGGGAGUGGCAGACGGGUGCGUAACACGUGGGAACAUACCCUUUGGUUCGGAAUAACUCAGGGAAACUUGAGCUAAUACCGGAUAAGCCCGAGAGGGGAAAGAUUUAUCGCCAAAGGAUUGGCCCGCGUCCGAUUAGCUAGUUGGUGAGGUAACGGCUCACAAAGGCGACGAUCGGUAGCUGGUCUGAGAGGGCGCACGGCCACACUGGAACUGAAACACGGUCCAGACUCCUACGGGAGGCAGCAGUGGGGAAUUUUGCGCAAUGGGGGAAACCCUGACGCAGCAACGCCGCGUGGAGGAUGAAGUCCCUUGGGACGUAAACUCCUUUCGACCCGGACGAUAAUGACGGUACGGGUGGAAGAAGCCCCGGCUAACUUCGUGCCAGCAGCCGCGGUAAUACGAAGGGGGCUAGCGUUGCUCGGAAUCACUGGGCGUAAAGCGCACGUAGGCGGAUUGUUAAGUCAGGGGUGAAAUCCUGGAGCUCAACUCCAGAACUGCCUUUGAUACUGACGGUCUUGAGUCCGGGAGAGGUGAGUGGAACUGCGAGUGUAGAGGUGAAAUUCGUAGAUAUUCGCAAGAACACCAGUGGCGAAGGCGGCUCACUGGCCCGGUACUGACGCUGAGGUGCGAAAGCGUGGGGAGCAAACAGGAUUAGAUACCCUGGUAGUCCACGCCGUAAACGAUGGAUGCUAGCCGUUGGCGGGUUUACCCGUCAGUGGCGCAGCUAACGCAUUAAGCAUCCCGCCUGGGGAGUACGGUCGCAAGAUUAAAACUCAAAGGAAUUGACGG